UACGUAGGGUGCAAGCGUUUGUCCGGAAUUAUUGGGCGUAAAGAGCUCGUAGGCGGCUUGUCGCGUCGACUGUGAAAACCCGCGGCUCAACCGUGUGGUCUGCAGUCGAUACGGGCAGGCUAGAGUUCGGUAGGGGAGACGUGGAAUUCCUGGUGUAGCGGUGAAAUGACGCAGAUAUCAGGAGGAACACCGGUGGCGAAGGCGGGUCUCUGGGCCGAUACUGACGCUGAGGAGCGAAAGCGUGGGGAGCGAACAGG
rnacentral:rRNA from 1 species